rnacentral:rRNA from 1 species
CUACGGGGGGCAGCAGUGGGGAAUAUUGGACAAUGGGGGAAACUCUGAUGCAGCAACGCCGCGUGGAGGAUGACACUUUUCGGAGCGUAAACUCCUUUUAUAUAGGAAGAAGAUGACGGUACUAUAUGAAUAAGCGCCGGCUAACUCCGUGCCAGCAGCCGCGGUAAUACGGGAGGGCGCAAGCGUUACUCGGAAUCACUGGGCGUAAAGAGCGUGUAGGCGGAUUAAAAAGUCAGAAGUGAAGUCCUAUAGCUUAACUAUAGAACUGCUUCUGAAACUCUUAAUCUAGAAUAUGGGAGAGGUAGAUGGAAUUUCUGGUAUAGGGGUAAAAUCCGUAGAGAUCAGAAGGAAUACCGAUUGCGAAGGCGAUCUACUAGAACAUUAUUGACGCUGAGACGCGAAAGCGUGGGGAGCAAACAGGAUUAGAUACCCGCGUAGUC